rnacentral:lncRNA from 13 species
ACUUAAUGCAUAUAAAUGGGGUUUCAUACCACACAGGCAUAGAGUAGCUUAGAUUCCUGAGAAACCAUCCCACCCAUUCUGGGUCACCUUUACUGGAGGUAGGGACCUAGACACAUGAUUUUUGGAGAAUUUUUUCUACUUAUUUCUUCCUCCCCCUAGUUCUGCUUUUCUGCUUAAAAAACUGCCAUAGUUACAUGCCUGUUAGGUAAAACGUCAACUCUACCCUGACAAUAAGGCUACCUUCUUAGCUCAUCUCUGCUAUUCUUUUCCUCUGGCCCUGUCCUUUCUCUUUCCUAACCCUAUUGAACCAUUGUGUAAUCUUGUGUAAGUCACCUGUGUUACAGCCUGUCGUUGCUAGACAGAGCAUAGAUUGUCAACAGAGAUGAAUUUGGAUCUCAGCAGGCAGCCUCCAGCCUGAUGUGUGGACCUGGUCAAAUCGCUCAAUCUUUCUGAACCUUGAUUUAUUUUUCUAUAAAAUGGGAGUAAUGACAUCUAACUCUCCUAGGUGUUAUGGAGGUCUGGGGGGACCUAUAAGUUCCUAGAGAAGCAGAGGAAUGAGGAAGUUUGUUGAAUGAGGAGGAGCGAAUCUGCUGAAUGUGGAGGAGACGAGAUUCUUGAGCUUGACUUUAGUCACCAGUGGCAGCAUUAUACCGUCCCAGACGGAGAAGACCCUCAAUCAAUACUGUUCAAAGGAAAGGACAGGAUAGACCUUUGCAAUAGACUCUUCUAA